rnacentral:misc_RNA from 1 species
GUUCCGGGACAGCAGGCCUGCUAG